rnacentral:lncRNA from 1 species
GAAGUUGUAGUGGCCGGGUGGGAGAGAUCCCUUUGGGAAUGCGCUGUCCUCGCAACGGACCUGAACCUAACGUGAUCUCGAAAGCCCAGGACUCCGACGAUCCCACUCACCUUGCAUCAUGGCAGUCCCAGGUUGCAACAAGGACAAUGUCAGAGCAGGCUGCAGAAAAUGUGGCUACCCUGGUCAUCUGACUUUCGAGUGCCGCAAUUUUCUCCGGGUAGAUCCCAAAAGGGACAUUGUGUUGGACGUCAGCAGCACCAGUAGUGAGGACAGUGAUGAAGAAAAUGAGGAGCUGAACAAGCUGCAGGCUCUGCAGGAGAAAAGAAUAAAUGAAGAAGAGG